AGAGUUUGAUCCUGGCUCAGAGCGAACGCUGGCGGCAUGCCUAACACAUGCAAGUCGAGCGCCCCUCAAGGGGAGCGGCAAACGGGUGAGUAACACGUGGGAACGUGCCCUUCGGUUCGGAAUCUUCCGGGGAAACUCGGAGUAAUACCGGAUACGUCCUUCAGGAGAAAGAUUCAUCGCCUAAGGAGCGGCCCGCGUCUGAUUAGCUUGUUGGUGAGGUAACGGCUCACCAAGGCGGUGAUCAGUAGCUGCUCUGAGAGGAUGAUCAGCCACACUGGGACUGAGACACGGCCCAGACUCCUACGGGAGUCAGCAGUGGGGAAUAUUGGCCAAUGGGAGCAAGCCUGAUCCAGCCAUGCCGCGUGAGUGAUGAAGGCCCUAGGGUUGUAAAGCUCUUUCGCCGGGGAAGAUAAUGACGGUACCCGCAGAAGAAGCCCCGGCCAACUUCGUGCCAGCAGCCGCGGUAAU
rnacentral:rRNA from 1 species